rnacentral:rRNA from 2 species
CACCGCGGUUAAACGAGAGGCCCUAGUUGACACCAAAACGGCGUAAAGGGUGGUUAGGGAAAAAUAAUAAUAAAGCCAAAUGGCCCCUUGGCUGUCAUACGCUUCUAGGUGUCCGAAGCCCCAUCAUACGAAAGUAGCUUUAAUAAUAUGCCCGACCCCACGAAAGCUAAGAAA